CCUGGCGGCCAUAGCGAGGGGGAACCACCCGAUCCCAUCCCGAACUCGGAAGUGAAACUGCUCAGCGCCGAUGAUAGUGCGGGGUUACCCGUGCGAAAGUAGGUCACCGCCAGGC
rnacentral:rRNA from 1 species